rnacentral:rRNA from 1 species
UACGUAGGGUGCGAGCGUUGUCCGGAAUUAUUGGGCGUAAAGAGCUCGUAGGCGGUGUGUCACGUCGUUCGUGAAAACCUGCAGCUUAACUGUGGGCGUGCGGUCGAUACGGGCAUCACUGGAGUUGGCAGGGGAGACUGGAAUUCCUGGUGUAGCGGUGAAAUGCGCAGAUAUCAGGUGGAACACCGAUGGCGAAGGCAGUGAUCU